rnacentral:rRNA from 1 species
UGGGGAAUAUUGGGCAAUGGGCGCAAGCCUGACCCAGCAACGCCGCGUGAAGGAUGAAGGUCUUCGGAUUGUAAACUUUUGUCUUCAGGGACGAUAAUGACGGUACCUGAGGAGGAAGCCACGGCUAACUACGUGCCAGCAGCCGCGGUAAUACGUAGGUGGCGAGCGUUAUCCGGAUUUACUGGGUGUAAAGGGCGUGUAGGCGGGAUAGUAAGUCAGAUGUGAAAUGCCAAGGCUCAACCUUGGAGCUGCAUUUGAAACUAUUAUUCUUGAGUGUUGGAGAGGUAAGUGGAAUUCCUAGUGUAGCGGUGAAAUGCGUAGAUAUUAGGAGGAACACCAGUGGCGAAGGCGACUUACUGGACAAUAACUGACGCUGAGGCGCGAAAGCGUGGGGAGCAAACA